rnacentral:rRNA from 1 species
UGGGGAAUCUUGCGCAAUGGGCGAAAGCCUGACGCAGCAACGCCGCGUGAGCGAAGAAGGCCUUCGGGUUGUAAAGCUCUGUCAGGGGGAAAGAAGGCACCUGGGUUAAUAGCCCAAGGGUUGACGGUACCCCCAAAGGAAGCCACGGCUAACUACGUGCCAGCAGCCGCGGUAAUACGUAGGUGGCGAGCGUUGUCCGGAAUCAUUGGGCGUAAAGAGCGCGUAGGUGGCUUGUCAGGUCUGAUGUGAAAACUUGGGGCUCAACCCCAAGCCUGCAUCGGAAACCGGCUUGCUAGAGUCUGGGAGAGGAGAGUGGAAUUCCUGGUGUAGCGGUGAAAUGCGUAGAUAUCAGGAGGAACACCGGUAGCGAAGGCGGCUCUCUGGAACAGUACUGACGCUGAGGCGCGAAAGCUAGGGGAGCGAACAG